AAAUAUCUUCGCUUUCCACCUCCCUCUCAACACCUCUCCAGUACUCCCCUUCGUGCCGCCGCCCUCCCCGUCCUCUCCGUCCCCUGUGCAGCGCUCCGUUCUCGCGCUCGCCCGCCGAUCGACCGCCUCCGGCGCGCCGCCGGGUCCCCCGCGCCGCUCCAACGCCCGGCCCGUCGCUUCCCCUCGCCGUCUCCUGCGUAGAGCGACGCUCUCGCGCUCGCCCGCCGACCGCCUGCCUCCGCCACGCCGCCGGGUCCCUCGCGCCGCUCUAGCGCCUGGGUUCUUCAACGCCGGCUUCAGAUCCAGGGUCAGAUCAAAACUGGAGCUCCCUGCCGAUCUGAGCGUCUUGCCAAGUACAAUCAGGCAAGUGAUUCUUAUGUGAUGUAUUGCAAUAUAAAACCUAUUUUUGUGGCUCUCUCUCUAUCUCUUUUUUUUUUGCAAUGAUGGCCAUUGUUUCAUCUCCAACUACAGCAAGAACAGGCCUGCUCCUCUGCCAGGUCAGAAUUUUCCCUCUACCUUCAUUGGUUGGAUUGAUCUGUACGAUGAUACGUACAACCUACCAUGUGUUUGUAAAAUUAACAUUGCACGUAAUCCAGUUUUUUGUUUGGUUAUCUAGAACAUUCUCUUUGCUUUGUGAUACGAUGAAUAGCCAUGCUUAUCAAAUUUAGUAGAGAUUAGAGAAUAGUUCUACUAGCAUCCUACUGCCCCAUCAUACUACAUGAAAAAUUCCCUAACCAGGAUAAUAAUUCAGUAUGGCAUGCAAUUUAUAUUUUUCUUUUUGCUUCCCAAGUUUUAAUUUUCUUUUCUUUUUCACCACUAAGGCAUCAUGAAGUUUUCCUAAUUUAUGUGCCGAUCUACUUGAUUAAGUAGUAUAUGUUUGCUAUACAUAUGAUCAAAAUCUUCAAAAUAAACUUGGAAUGCUGGCUUAAAUGUUGCUUAUUUCUACAUGUUAAAGCUCCACGGCUCCGCCGCAAGCCAUUGGUCCACGACAGCAAAAAAUCAAUGGUCCACGCGAUUUACAUCGAACGGCUGGAGGCGCUGCUUCCAUCACGCAGGCUUUCUUGUUUGCUCGAAUCUUCUCGGGUCCUCCCGUCCUCUCUCCUUCCCUGUCCCCCGAGCCUUAUCCUCUCUUUUUGCAUUUCCUCUUUCUCCUUCCGUCUUCUCCCUUUCACUCCCUUUCAUGGCGAGCUCCUUCCGUCCGCCUGCCCUCUGCCCCCGCGACCUCCAUUCCUUGGUGAGCUCCGUCCGUCCUGGCAUCCACGCACGGCUCCUGCCAUUCUUCCCUAACAGUCGCCAUUGAAUGUGGCUCAAAUCUUGCUCCGUCCGUCCAUGCACCUUGGUCCUGCAAUGUGGUCAUGAUGAUGGCCAUCCGCACCUGCAAUUAAUCUGCUCAUGUCUAGUGCAGGUUCUUGUGGCUACUGUGCUAAUUCAUAUACCUUCUUAGACAGGGCCAGUUGUUAUCUACAGACGUAAACAUGUUGGGCAUAAAUAUCAACUAGAUGCGAUUCUUCUUUUCCUUGUGGGAACUCAUCUGCCUCAACGGGGCGGGGUGGGGGGGCACUACUACCUCACUCAUACCUUCUACAUCAACUCCAUCAUUACUGUCCUAGGAAGGAGAGCUUGAACACCUGCAUCAUCACAAAUACACCAUGUUCAUAAAUGGACCUUCUCCAAUUGCCCAAACGAAUCCUAACAUUACGCAGACUCAGAUCGUGAGCCAAAAUAUCUGGUAGUUUACUCCAACAGUCUUCCAGCAGCUGACGUGAUCUACACCCAUGAAGAUGCCCGAUCAAGAUAGUUGGUUACCAAACUGCUGCUGCUGCUUGUAGAUUUUUAUUUUGUUGAUUCUGCUGUUGAUGAGCAUUCCUCUUCACCCUCAGCUGACGCAGCUCUUGAUAUAUGCAUAUAUCUCUACGAAUGUAGCACAUGUGCACGCGCCCAUAUGUAGGGGAACCUAUCUACCUAUAUGUAAAUAGUCCAACUAUAACCAUCCUAUGAACUGUGUAUGAAUAUGAGCAAUGCUUACUUAUUUAUAGCUACUUAUGCAAUAUAUUUGCACAUUUAAGAUUUGCA